GCGCCGGUGGUGCAAGGCGUAGCAUCGCUGCCCGGAAAGCAGAAGGUGCGGGUUCGAGUCCCGCCUGGCGCC
rnacentral:tRNA from 1 species